rnacentral:rRNA from 1 species
CUUAAUCCUUUACUUCCCACACUGCAAGUCGAACGCUGAACCACUUUCGGGUGGGGAUGAGUGGCGAACGGGUGAGUAACACGUGGGUAAUCUGCCCUGCACUCUGGGAUAAGCCUUGGAAACGGGGUCUAAUACCGGAUAUCACAACUCUUCGCAUGGAGGGUUGUUGAAAGUUCUGGCGGUGCAGGAUGAACCCGCGGCCUAUCAGCUUGUUGGUGGGGUAGUGGCCUACCAAGGCGACGACGGGUAGCCGGCCUGAGAGGGUGACCGGCCACACUGGGACUGAGACACGGCCCAGACUCCUACGGGAGGCAGCAGUGGGGAAUAUUGCACAAUGGGCGAAAGCCUGAUGCAGCGACGCCGCGUGAGGGAUGACGGCCUUCGGGUUGUAAACCUCUUUCGCCAGGGACGAAGCGCAAGUGACGGUACCUGGAUAAGAAGCACCGGCUAACUACGUGCCAGCAGCCGCGGUAAUACGUAGGGUGCGAGCGUUGUCCGGAUUUAUUGGGCGUAAAGAGCUCGUAGGCGGUUUGUCGCGUCGGCCGUGAAAUCUCCACGCUUAACGUGGAGCGUGCGGUCGAUACGGGCAGACUUGAGUUCGGUAGGGGAGACUGGAAUUCCUGGUGUAGCGGUGAAAUGCGCAGAUAUCAGGAGGAUCACCGGUGGCGAAGGCGGGUCUCUGGGCCGAUACUGACGCUGAGGAGCGAAAGCGUGGGGAGCGAACAGGAUUAUAUACCCUGGUAGUCCACGCUGUAAACGGUGGGUGCUAGGUGUGGGCGACAUCCACGUUUGUCCGUGCCGUAGCUAACGCAUUAAUCACCCCGCCUGGGGAGUACGGCCCGCAAGGCUAAAACCUCAAAGGAUAUGGACGGGGGUCCCGCACAAGCGGCGGAGCAUGUGUAUUAAUUCCGAUGCAACGCGAAAAAACCUUACCUGGGCUUUGACAUGCGCCAGACAUCCCCAGAGAUGGGGCCUUCCCUUUGUUGUUUGUGUACAGGUGGUUGCAAUGCUCUGUUCCUCCCAGCU